rfam:Triticum aestivum genome assembly, contig: Triticum_aestivum_CS42_TGACv1_scaffold_129658_2BL
AUUCUACUCCCCCCGUUCCACAAUACAUGCCUUCUAUUUGUCAAAAUAUAGAUGUAUCUAGACAUGUUUUAGUAUAUAGGUACAUCCAUUUUUGGACAAAUGGAAGUCAAGUAUUUUGGAACGGAGGGAGUACACA